UAAGAUAAAUUUAUAAAAUAAUUCAUUUACAUUGAAUAGAUUAAUUUAGUGAAAAAAUUAGAAUUUUAA
rnacentral:tRNA from 1 species